rnacentral:snRNA from 1 species
UUGUUUAUCUGGCAGUGGAGAUACCAUGAUCACGAAGAUGGCUUUCCCAGGGCGAAGCUUAUCCAUUGCACUGCAGAUGAGCUGACCCUGUGAUUUCCCCAAAUGCAGCAAACUUGACUGCAGAAUUUGUAGUAAUGGGGGAUUGUGUUCAUGCUCUCCCAUU